rnacentral:lncRNA from 1 species
AUGCUCAGCACUCAUCUCCACAUAGAAGCCACAAGCCACCACUCCACCACCAAUCGCCACCACAACUGACCGCCACCACUCCAACACUUAAUUAUCUAUUGUACCUGAGUACCCAAAGCACAUCACAUCUUCAUUCAACCAUUGUUUGAUCCAUCAUCUUCAACACAUCAAGACAUAAUACAGUCAUCGGUAUACUUCAAUAAACCACUUCACUUCCACACUCAGUUUCUACAUACGUACCAACAACUUUCGCCACCACCAGCUGUUAUUUCUCUCAUCGUCAGUCGCUACAGCUAUAAAAGUCUUCACCUACUGUACAAUCCCUAUCCACCACCUUAUCCAGUCUCUACCAUAGUUAGAAGCAUGUUCUGCUUGAUUGUUUGUCCACUCACUUGCUCAGGAGUAUUAUACUACAAUAGUCCAGAACAUGCCAACUUGAAGAUCAUAAUUGGGACACAAUUUGACUCUUCUUAGUCACGUGUGUACAUCGCCAGCAACUUCAAGCUCUCGUGAACACCGCCACUGCAACUAAACAACAGGGAGUCCUUGAUCUCUAUUUAUUGUUGGUCUAUACUACUGUUCAUUUUAAAACUACCUCAUUUAAUUUCUGUGUUGCUAUUAACAUGUUAAUGUUAGCCUUAAACCCCACUUCAUCGACAGCGUUGAUCGAAUUGACUCCCAUAGUUCUCCACUUUAUCCCACGUGAUUAGAGAUUUUGAUUAGAUAUUUGUAACACUGCUUUUAUUUUAUUCGUAUCAACAUUAUUAGCUUGCCACAUUUGGAUUUGCGUAACCCCAAAUUUUGAUUUAAAAAAAAAAAUCAAUUUCUAUUUUUGGUGACAUUCAUUGUUUAUUGAUCUCUCUAUUACACUCAUUUAGCUAGUGUUACUUUGCAUGUAGUUGUGUAGUAGUCGUCUUGUCACCUCUCUUUCCAAUACAUUGACCAUGAACCCAUCCCACUUUGAUGCACUCACUAAACAAUUAGCUCAACUUGCUACUAGCCAACAAUACUUACAAACUCCAUUAGCGGCUUUCCAAACUGAGAUAGCUACUACUCGUGAGAAGAGUAGAGUUCUAGCUGCUAGUCCGGACAAUUUUAAGCAAAUCCCUCAUUCAACUGGUGUUAAUAAUUUUGAAGUGUCCCAUAAUAGAUAAUUUCGUCGUCGACAAGAUGAUCAAAAAUAUUUUCAACACGAUCGUAGGAAUAGGGAUCAAGUGCGUGAGCGAAAACGAGGCCAUGGUCAUCAUGGUACUCAUUCUCUUUCACGUCAUAAGGAGCGUUUCUUUAGAGACAUUAAAUUAGACAUUCCUUCUUUUAAUGGUUGCUUAGAUUUUGAAAUUUUUACUCAAUUGACUGCCUUAAACAAGGAAAUCAAUUAGUGAUCGAGUAUAUUGCUCAAUUUGAGGAGUUUCGAAUGAAAUAUCAUGUCGUUGAGGAUGAGUCCCUGACUUUGAGUAGGUUUAUAAAAGGUCUAAGAGAGGAACUUAGGUGCGACCU